GAUGAACGCUGGCGGCGUGCCUAAUACAUGCAAGUCGAGCGAACGGGCGAGAAGCUUGCUUCUCUGAUGUUAGCGGCGGACGGGUGAGUAACACGUGGAUAACCUACCUAUAAGACUGGGAUAACUUCGGGAAACCGGAGCCAAUACCGGAUAAUAUUUUGAACCGCAUGGUUCAAAAGUGAAAGACGGUCUUGCUGUCACUUAUAGAUGGAUCCGCGCUGCAUUAGCUAGUUGGUAAGGUAACGGCUUACCAAGGCAACGAUGCAUAGCCGACCUGAGAGGGUGAUCGGCCACACUGGAACUGAGGCACGGUCCAGACUCCUACGGGAGGCAGCAGUAGGGAAUCUUCCGCAAUGGGCGAAAGCCUGACGGAGCAACGCCGCGUGAGUGAUGAAGGUCUUCGGAUCGUAAAACUCUGUUAUUAGGGAAGAACAUAUGUGUAAGUAACUGUGCACAUCUUGACGGUACCUAAUCAGAAAGCCACGGCUAACUACGUG
rnacentral:rRNA from 1 species